rnacentral:rRNA from 1 species
UACAGAGGUCUCAAGCGUUGUUCGGAUUCAUUGGGCGUAAAGGGUGCGUAGGUGGCGCCGUAAGUCGGGUGUGAAAUUUCGGAGCUUAACUCCGAAACUGCAUUCCAUACUGCGGUGCUUGAGGACUGGAGAGGAGACUGGAAUUUACGGUGUAGCAGUGAAAUGCGUAGAGAUCGUAAGGAAGACCAGUGGCGAAGGCGGGUCUCUGGACAGUUCCUGACACUGAGGCACGAAGGCCAGGGGAGCAAACGGG